rnacentral:tRNA from 1 species
GUCGAGUUGCCAGAGUGGUUAAUGGGUGUGACUCGAAAUCACAUGGCUUCGGCCGCGCAGGUUCAAAUCCUGCAUUCGACG